GGCAGGGGUCUUGCUAUGUUGCCCAGGCUCAUCUAGAACUCAAGUGGUUCUCCCUACUCGGCCUUCCAAAAUGCUGGGAUUACAGGUGUGAGGCACCACACACGGCCAAGUCUUCGCUAUUGUCUUAACCAGUUUAAAGAGAUGAAAUAGAUCAACUGAAAAGUAAUAAUCCUGCCUUUUCUGGGGGGCAGGGGGGAAGACAGCGGGCAUCUUCCAAGACCAGAAAUGUUCAGAAUUUUGUUGUUUCUAUUACUGUACAAAUGAGAAAACUGAGCCUGGCCACUCUCCACAUCUUUCUAGCAGUUAUGAGGUG
rnacentral:lncRNA from 10 species